rnacentral:lncRNA from 1 species
GAAACAGCUCACAAUGUCAUAUAUGACUUAUUGAUUUUACAUAGUACAAUACACCAUACCAAAAGUCCAGAUGGACACAUAUACAUAUAAAACAGAAGUCUCGAGCUUCACAGGCUCGGACCGGAGUACUUAUACUUGCCCGUAUGGCCACUAUAGUUUAAAAAACCAUAUCUCACAUUUUACUAGUACACAACCACUCAUAACAUAUGCACAUGAUGAGAGUAAGAGGCUCAAACGAGUUUUAAAACACAAAACGAGGAUCAAGACACAAUCUUCCAUAUCUACCUGGCGCCGUCACCAGGACGGCCAACCCCGGAGCCCGAUUAUACCAUUUUGUAGAUUUGCAGUGUGUGAACCAGUAAAGUAUAUUGUCGCUCUGAAAUUGAAAGUAAGGGUUAGUGCUAGUCACUGAGUGAGGAUCUAUGUCCUAGUCACUCUAAGGUACAAAUAAUCAUAUAGAAAAUAUACAACAUAUAACACAUAAGGCUAAUUCUAUAAUCUAAUUUAUAUCCAUAUUUUAUUUGGGAUCCCGGCUCACAUAUGCUGACGACCCACGUAGAGUUAGUGGCACUAAAAUGGCCCACGUAGAGUUAGUGUGGUGCUUAUCAAAGCCCACAGCAUUAGUUAGUUGUGGCGCUUACCAAGGCCCAUGGCGUAACAGAAGUGCAAUAAGCACAAUCGCCAGCAUACGGGCCCUAACUAGGUGAUCAAUCAAUUACCAGAUUUAUUUAAUAAUCAGUAAUAGCUACAGCUCAUAUUAACACAUAUAUUGAAUCAGAUAUAUCAGCAAAGUAACAAAACAUGUAUCAUAUUAAGUAAUAAAUAUGGUAAAGAAGCAUAUAAAAUCUUAAGAUUAAAUGGACAUUACCCUAUCAUGCAUAUAGCCUUAAUAAUAAUAAUAAACUCAUAAUGGAACGUCUAACCCGGUCGGAUACGCAGGAGACCCUCACCAGAAAUAAUCCUCAAAAACCCCGAUAUCAGCUUCCGAGUUACGACCUUAAUUCCGACAACAGAGUGUUACUGCUAAUUCCUCCAAGUCUCAUUUAUGUAGGAAACUAC